UUUUAAAGAUGUCUAUUUCGCAUGUUCAUUCUCACUAGGAAGAAAGCAAGAUCUUUAUACGUACAUGUUUGCAUUUUCCCAUGUGAGGACACUUCUGUGGGCGUUAAUGCGUACACUCAAAAGAGAUUUUUUGGUCAAGAGCUUUGCUAAAGUCAUAUGCAAACUCUGUCAAUGUAUGCAAGGAGUGUGGCCAGGACCAUGCGUGUGCAUUGGUUGUUUGGGACACUGUGUGGAGUGCUAUGCUUCGUGAUGCACACAAUAUAAGCCAAGAAAUCCUAAAACAAUGUGCAUCAACUGUUCAAUUUAUGCAUUUAGAGGCUCUUCGUAAGACAAAAGUUGAUAUUCUCCAUAUGUUGUCUUAACUAUGCUUUCCUGAUCAGCAGAGAAAUCCUGGAAAAACAUGUGCAUCUUCUGUUCAAUUUAUGCAUAUAGAGGCUCUUCGUAAGAUAGAAUAUGAUGUUCUUAUAAUCAUGCUUUCCUGAGAAACCAAUAAAUCCUGAAAAAUGCACAUAUACUUUUCAAUUUAUGCAUCCAAGGCUCUUUGUAAGAUAGAAUAUGAUGUUCUUCAUAUGUCACCUUCAUGCUUUCCCGAAAAGCAUAAGCAUAUAUAGCUGAUAUCACUGUAUAUAGGCCUGGUUUAUUAUUGUGAUCUAUGCAUCGUACCUAUGUGUAGCUCUCUUUUUAGCUAAUUCUUGUUUUACACGCCUCAAUGCGGUUCAAUUCAAUAAAAAUAAUGUGCCCUAUAGUAUUUUUUUCAAUGUGAUGGAACAACAUCCGAGAGGGUCAGCGCUGGACCGAUAGGUGUGUCUAUGUGUUUGUAGAUUAUGUUACCCUUCGAUAUGAUCCUCCAUGGAGAGAAAUUUAUCUUCAUGGGUCAUAGAAAGCAUGUUUGGUCGGUGCUAAUGGGGUUGAUGCUAUGAGUAGUCUCUUCAGAGCUAAGUAUACGAACUUUGAGACAGAAUUUUUUGUGAAAUGCUACCUUCUAAAGGAGGUGCUCAUGGGUCGGUUCCUUGUUUUAGAAAAAUAUCAUCUUACUAUGAUCAUGCUUUUAGAUGUUCUGCUUUAGCAGCAAUGCGUGUUAUCCCUGCAAGAAAGGUUAUUUCGUUACUCAAGUCUUUAUGUGGUUGGGCUCUCUCAGGCAACAGAAAACACACAUUUUGGCAGCGAAUCACACAGCUUUCAGCAGUGAUGUCCAAUAGGUUAUCGUGAAACCCAGCAAAAUUGGAUAAGGAUGCUAAGCUGCUGAUUUUCUGUCAGGUAAAACAAUUGUUUAUGCAAAUGUAUGUUCAGCUCUAUUUUUUUGUCACAAUGUUGAAUUCUCUUUUAAUUUGGUGUUCUCCUUACGGAUGUUCUUUCCUGAGGACCGUCUUAGUUUUGGAUAAACAUCUAUUUUGUUCUCUGAGGAAUAAGUAAUAGCCCUGUCGCGCUUCUAAUGUGUUAUUUCUUUGUUAUUAUUAUGGUAGUACGAACCCAGUUUGUUGUUUGAUUUAUCUAAAUAUAAGAGAACAUGGUUUCCAUACAUUUUAAAUUAUAGAACAUGUUAGCUUAAUUGUGGGCUAAAAUAUAUAGGUAAAAGGUGUAUCUGAUGUGACAAAGGUUUGUAUGAUUUCCGCCAUCUUUUGUACAGACUACUCUGUUAUGCUAACAAAAUGCUGGAAGGGCAACGCUUUGUAUAAUCAGCAGGCAUGCCCGCCUGAAUUGGGUGCCAUGUUUCCUUGCAAUAAAGGACUUUCUGAUACACUGGAAAAGUAGCUUAUAAAAUUGAAACCAGAGUUUGCUAAUUGAUUUAUAAAGGACUUUGUGCGUUUAGAGUUUGAAAUUGAUAGACAACGAGGAAUGACCAAGAUCACUCUACUUUUUUGCUUCAUCUUGCAGUACAAUAAUGAUAUGCUAUAUUAUUAGCAUUAGUAUUUGGAAUAAACAAUCCCUUGGUUCUUAAGGUAUUUAGAUGGAUAGUUUUUCAAAUUGCAUGGUUCUUCCAUUUCUAGAAUUAUCUUUUUCUUGCAUUAUAUUUUAGAAUAGACAACUCUUACAUUUUAUGUUUUUUUGCCAAAUGGAUCCUCCUACUAUAUAUGCUUGCCUUAUUUAGAACAUAUACAGUAGUAUGUCAUGAGCAUAUGGCAUCGUUGCUCUUACUUGGUUGUAUACAAAUUUAUCACAAUAUUUCCCUUUAUGGUGCAUAUUUGAUUUAGUCUAGUUUAGUCCUCACAUAUGUUCAUCUUCUUGUUCAUCAGAUUUGGUAAGAGACUGAUGCUGCUGUGACCAUAAGUGCCGGUGAUUUAUGUACAUGCACCGACCCAACUAAAGCAAGCAUUGAAUUUUGUAGCUUCUUCCUAGGUAAGUAUAAUGUGCGCUCAUCUUUGCAUAGUUUUUAUAUAGAUAUAAUUUUGUAAUAUACAUGACCAAGUUGGGCCACAUGACUCACCAAAUAGUAUUUGUUGUGUCUUGAACUGUUAUUUAUACAUAUUUUUCAUAUGUAUUGAUCUGAAUAGAAAGGUCACAUUUGCAUUUUGGUUCUGUAUAUAUAGUACUUUCACUGAUAUUUUUUUCCUAUACAAACAUACAAGGCGCAAGCAUUGGGAGAAUCAAAUUCACCAAAGUUUGAAGGAGCUCAUCCAUCCAUUGAGAGCAUUUCAGCUUUCCACAUGCCAUAGAUUAAUCCAUCUGUUUUAGUUGCAUCAGAUACUCCAUCCUUCAAUUGUAUUGCCAAUGUCACUUACACAUAUGUAACUAAUAGAAAAUAGGACAUUGGAAGGAUAUCACAUGAUGACCCACAAGUAUAGGGGAUCAAUAGAAGUCCUUUCGAUAAGUAAGAGUGUCGAACCCAAUGAGGAGCAGAAGAAAAUGACAAGUGGUUUUCGGCAAGGUAAUUUCUGCAAGCACUAAAAUUGUAGGUAAUAGGUAGUUUGAUAGCAAGAUAAUUUGUAAUGAGCAAGUAAUGGUAAUGGUAAAUAAAGUGCAGCAAGGUAGCCCAAUCCUUUUGUGGCAAAGGACGGGCCAAGACGGUCUCUUAUAAUAAGCAAAGCGUUCUUGAGGGCACACGGAAAUUUCACCAUGUCACUUUCAUCAUGUUGGUUUGAUUCGUGUUCGCCACUUUGAUAAUUUAAUAUGUGGGUGGACCGGUGCUUAGGUGUUGUACUUACAUGAACAAACCUCCUACUUAUGAUUAACCCCCUCGCAAGCAUCCGCAACUAUGAGAAAAGUAUUAAGAUAAAAUCUAACCAUAGCAUUAAACAUAUGGAUCCAAAUCAGUCCCUUACGAAAUAGUGCAUAAACCAGGGUUUAAGCUUCUGUCACUCUAGCAACCCAUCAUAUAACAACUACUCCACAAUGCAUUCCCUUAGGCCCAAAGAUGGUGAAGUGCCAUGUAGUCGACGUUCACAUGACACCACUAAGGGAAUCACAACAUACAUAUCAUCAAAAUAUCAAACACAUAUCAACUUCACAUGAUUAAUUGCAACAUGACUUCUCCUGUGACCUCAAGAACAAAAGUAACUACUCACAAAUGAUAAUCAUGCUCAAUAUCGGAGGGGUAUUAAAUAGCAUAAUGGACCUGAACAUAUAAUCUUCCACCAAAUAAACCAUAUAGUAAUAAACUACAAGAUGUAAUCAACACUCCUAGUCACCCACAUGUACCAAUCUGAGGUUCUGGUAAAAAGAUUGAACACAAGAGAUGAAAUAGGGUUUGAGAGCAGAUGGUGUUGUUGAAAAUGUUGAUGAAGAUUGCCCUCCCCAUGAUGAGAGAGUUGUUGGUGAUGACGAUAGCUUCGAUUGCCCUCCCCAUUUUGCGUCACUUGCCUAUCGAGACCAGCCAUUGAGUAUUGCUGGCAACGUUACUUAUGCACAUUAGUGAUCUGUACCUUCCAUUGCAUACAUACCAUAUUAUAUUGGUAUCAUCAUAUCAUCCCUUGUGUGACAAGAUUGUUCCCGCAUAUACAUAAUCUAUCUUGGUUUGUGCAUUUCGCAUAAGUGGCCAUACAAAAAAAAGAGAGAAUAAGCUUUUAAGAAAAAAAAAGAAAAAGAGAGCAAAGAGCUUGUAAGCAAUAGCCAUAGCAUCAUACCACAUUGCACAUAAUAUUUUCAUAUCUGAUCAUCUUGGAUCAUCUUGAGAAGAACACCGGGAACAUCAUACACAUAGCAUUCUUGAGAUAGAAGGCUCAUACAUUUUGCAUCUUAUAGGUUGUGCACAAGUGUCGUAUCCGCUUAUGGAGCAAUCGUGCUAGCGUCCCUCUUGAGUUGUGCAACACGAGCGUUUUCCGUGGAUUCCAAAUUUUGUGCUCAUUCCUUGGUUGCACGACCCCAUUUAUCUAUUCGUGUGUGUGUGUUCCUGUGUGCCACCCAUUGCUAUUGGUCUACCUGUUUCACUUGUGUAUUUGUGAAUCUUUUCCAACAUUAUUGACUCUUGCUAACAUUUUGCAUCAAAUUUUUGUGCCACUAUCCUCACUGAGCUCCACCAUAAUCUUUACUUGUGUAGGUGUGAGAAUUGACAAGAUCUGGUACCCAUUGUGCUAUUUCCUUCGUACAUUGUUGAGUGAUCAUUGAUCCAUCUUCAACAUUGGAAAGAUACAUUUGGUCUAGUUCUUUCCUUUCUUCCACUCAUGUUUGCUCGAGUCUUGUGAUGGAUAGGCAAGGCAUUUCAUCUCUGGUCUUGCACGACAAUGACAGCGCGAACAACUACAUCACCAAAACGUCCACCUUCGGACUACAACAAGCAGUGCAAGGCAUUGAGCGACUCGCCAUCGACAUUCGCCAAAACGAAGCAAAGAAAAGGGACUAUAUCGACACCAGGUUGGACGAACAAAUGGAUCAAGUACGAGACUUGGUGGCCAAAUACAAGUCUUCUUCCCCUUCGUCAUCUUCAUGGCGGAGACGCUCAAGUCGCACACCUUCGGAGCGGCCACAAGAUGCAAGUACCACGCGGCACCAUCAAGAAAACCUUCAUGAGCACAAGAGAAGACUACGAGACGAGAACCAACAAGACGGAGCUACGACUACUACCACCACUUCGGCAUCUUCGCCAAGGUUUAUCAAGGCAUCUUCACCUUUGGACGUAUGGCAUUUUCACCUAUCUCUGACGAGUACUUCUACAUCGUCCGUCAUCCACGGCGACGGUGACGAGAUGAUCGAGCAUGGGAUUUUCCCUUCGGUCAUGGAGGAGAGUGAUGAUGUGCCAUCUACGGCCUUCAUCCACGACGAGAGUGAUGAUGUGCCAUCUUCGGCCUUCAUCCACAACGAGAGUGAUGAUGUGCCAUCUUCGGCCUUCAUGCACGGCGACAGUGAUAAGAUGAUCGAGCAUGGGAUUUUCCCUUCGGUCAUGGAGGAGAGCGAUGAUGUGCCAUCUUCGGCCUUCAUCCACGGCUACGAGAUGGUUGCGCAUGGGAUUUUCCCUUCGACCACAGCGAUGUAUGAUGACUUGAGUGACUUAUGCAACCAUAUUGAAAGUGAGAGUGCCUUCACCACUAGCCCCAUAUAUGACAAGUUGCCCCAAUUCUCAUGUGAGGAGAGCCACCACCACCACCACUUGAGUGAUUUGAGUGACUCCACCAUAUGUGACAUUGAGUGCACCUACCUCGAGGGAGUGAGUGAGCCACCACCACAUAGAGAGAGUGAGGUUAUUUCGAUUUCUAACAACUUAACCUCGACCUCUAUUGUGUCUUCUCAUUUGGUGCUAGGUCCCAUAUAUGAUGACGCACCAAUUCGCGACGACUUCGUCCUUCCUUUGGACAAGACGAUGGCCAUGGUGGAAUAUGAUGCACCCCCCCCCCACAUGGUUCCAUCAAGUUGAUGAUGAUGACCACCAUUUGGUCUUUGCCACCUCACCUACACCACAUGAGUGGAAUGUGUAGAACCUUGAAGUAUGUCUAGAGGGGGGGUGAUUAGACUACUUGACCAAUUAAAAACUUAACCUUUUCCCAAUUUUAGAGUUUGGCAGAUUUUAGCUAUCUUAGGACAAGUCAAGCAAUCAUCACACAAUUCAAGCAAGCAUGCAAAGAGUAUAUAGGCAGCGGAAAUUAAAGCAUGCAACUUGCAAGAAAGUAAAGGGAAGGGUUUGGAGGAUUCAAACGCAAUUGGAGACACAGAUGUUUUUGGCGUGGUUCCGAUAGGUGGUGCUAUCGUACAUCCACGUUGAUGGAGACUUCAACCCAUGAAGGGUCCACGAAGAAGCAAUCUUGUCUAUCCCACCAUGGCCGUCGCCCACAAAGGACAUGCCUCACCAGCGGUAGAUCUUCACUAAGUAGGCGAUCUCCUUGCCCUUACAAACUCCUUGGUUCAACUCCACAAUCUUGUCGGAGGCUCCCAAGUGACACCUAGCCAAUCUAGGAGACACCACUCUCCAAGAAGUAACAAAUGGUGCGUUGAUGAUGAACUCCUUGCUCUUGUGCUUCAAAUGAUAGUCUCCCCAACACUCAACUCUCUCUCAUAGGUUUUGGAUCUGGUGGAAAGAAGAUUUGAGUGGAAAGCAACUUGGGGAAGGCUAGAGAUCAAGAUUCAUAUGGUAGGAAUGGAAUAUCUUGGCCUCAACACAUGAGUAGGUGGUUCUCUCUCAGAAAUGGUAAGUUGGAAGUGUAGGUUCGUUCUAAUGGCUCUCUCCACGAAUGAAGAGGAGGUGGAGGGGUAUAUAUAGCCUCCACACAAAAUCUAACCGUUACACACAAUUUACCAAACUCGGUGGGACCAAAUCAUCAAACUCGGUCGAACCGAUUUAGUAAACCUAGUGACCGUUAGGAUUAUUGGUGGGACCGAAAUGCAAAUCGGUAGGACCGAUAUGUUUAGGGUUAGGGCAUAACAUAAUCUCGGUAAGACCGAUUACACAAACUCGGUAGGACCAAUUUUGGUAAUAAGCUUUCAGAAGAGUUGGUCAGGUAAACUCGGUGGGACCGAUUUGCUUUGUUCGGUGAGACCGAAAUGUUACAAAAGGGAAAUAGAGAGUCUACAUUGCAAUCUCGGUGGGACCGAUCGCUCACUUCGGUUAGACCAAAACGUUACGAAGGGAAACAGAGAGAUUACAAUCCCAUCUCGAUGAGACCGAGAUCCCUAUCGGUAGGACCGAUUUGCCUAGGGUUUGUGGCAGUGGCUAUGACAUUAGAACUCGGUGGCGCCGGAUAGGAAGAAUCGGUGUGACUGAUUUUGGCUUUAGGUUUAGGUCAUUUGUGGAUGUGAGAAAGUAGUUGAGGGUUUUUGGAGCAUAUCACCAAGCACAUGAAGCAAGAGGCUCAUUAAGCAACACCUCAUCCCUCCUUGAUAGUAUUGGCUUUUCCUAUAGACUCAAUGUGAUCUUGGAUCACUAAAAUGUAAAAUGAAGAGUCUUGAGCUUUUGAGCUUGAGCCAAUCCUUUGUCAUUAGUAUUUUGAGGGAUCCACUUUCAUCAUCCAUGCCAUGCCAUUCAUUGAGCUUUCCUGAAAUAAUAGUCUUGGAAUAGUAUUAGCUCAAUGAGCUAUAUGUUGUUAUGAAUUACCAAAACCACCUAGGGAUAGAUGCACUUUUAAUCUCCCCCUUUUUGGUAAUUGAUGACAACAUAUAGAUCAAAGCUUCGACAAAUGAUAAUUAGAUUGAAAAACAUCGUCGCUUUGAGAAGUAUGUGAUAAGCAAGAGCUCCCCCUAAAUUUGUGCAUAGUUUAAGAUUUGCUUUGGACUGCAAAUGCACAAGGAAUUAGGCUCAUGGGUUACUCUUCCAUGUCACAUACAUCUUGGUGGAGCGCUCAAAAUGAUAAAGAUUGAAUACAUGCACUCAUCACCAAGAAAAGUGAAUGAUCAUAUAUGGAUAGGUAAGAUAAUAUCAUCAAACAUGCAUAAGUGUAGCUUAUGAUCGAACACAUGAUCAUCAAUGUCUCACAAAAACAGCAUAGUAUCUCAAGCAAUCAAAAGCAAACAAAGUUUAACCACCAAAGCAAGAGAGAACAAAAGCAACACACUCUCUCUCUCUCUCUCGAAACCUAUGAUCUAUAUAUUUUUCUCCCCCUUUGGAAACAAGUUACCAAAAAGUUCAUAGAAAAUGCAUAGUGCUAGAUCGACUCUCAGGCUUGAUCUUCAGGUGGUGGUGUCCGGAGAACUCCAAGAAUGAAGGCUUCAGUUGAAGUAGAGGGAGCUGGAGGAGUUGGUGCUGGAGCUGGUUGCACUGGAGCUGUAGGAGCUGUAGCUGGUGCAGAUGAUGUGGCUCUGGUGUCUGCACAGGCACUGCAGCUGACCUCUGAGCUCUAGGCACUCUGGCAAAUACAUUAGUGGUAGUCUUGCCCUUCCUCUCCUGUAUGUCAUCCUGUAGCUGCUCCACAACUGACCGAAUCUCAGUUACCUUGACAUCUAGAUCAUAGAAUUUUUGUUCCAUGAUUCUUUCCAAGCUCUUCUGAUUUUGAGUGAGGGUGGCCAAUCCCUUCUCAAUCCUCAAUGUUGAUGCUAUCAAGUAACCAAGCUGCUCCUGCUUGUUCUUCAGAAAGUACUCAAAUGCCUCCUCUUGAGUUGGCAUCUUGGCAGCCUUCUCUCUCUUUGCCUUCUCCUUCUUCUCUUGAGCUUGUACUGAUGAUGGUUCAUUCUCAUUCAUGACAACCUGAUUGUCCUCAAAGUCUGGAGAAAGAGGAAAAUGUUCCUUAUCCAAUAGAUAUUUUCUUGUGCCCAUCUUUGAGUUAAUCAACUCCUGAAUCUGAGGGGCAUAUCCACAUCUUCUCUUUUGAUCUACUGCAGUCCUCUUAAUGGUUUCAACCAUACGGCUCAUGACCUUGAAUUUCUGUGGCACAUCAAACAAAUGCAACAUGUUGAUUGCAUGCCCUCUAAUCAUGUUGUGGUCACUAGACUUAGGCAACAGAGUGUGCCUUAGGAUGCAGUUGAUCGUUGGCAGCCCUGACAGAAGAAAGUGGACUGAUCCAAACUUAUGUGUCUCAAUGGCUUUGUCUGGGAUCUCCUUGUACAUGUGUGCCAUGGAAUUGUGGUCCAUCUUCUUCUUGGCAUAGACAUCCAAGUCAUCUUCACUCUCCUUUGGGGCAUUGAUCAGUUUUGCCCACUCCUCAACGGUUGAUUGGUACCUUGUACCUUCAGACAUCCAAACUAUCCUCCCAUCUGGAUAGAAGUGUGCUGUGGAGUAGAAUUGCAUAAUGAGUUCAUCAUUCCAGUUGGUGAGCUUUUGCCCAACAAAAUCUGCAACUCCACAAGCAACAAAACUGUCUUGCACUCCAGGAUAGUGUUCUUAAUUUUCCUUCAUGUAGGCCCAGUCGACCCACCUCAUAUCACACACUAUGGGCUUCUUGUCCAACAAAAUUGUCUCAUAGAAGUCAUGUUGUUCCUUUGUAUGGAACCUGUAAUCAACAGCAGUCCUUCUCCUUGUGGCAUAUGGAUCUGUCAUCCUCCAUAGCCUCAACCCUGAGCUCUUCUGAUAUUCAUGUCCUCAGCCACAGGAUGGGCAUCAUUAUGGUUUGGUAUCUUGGGCUUUAGCUUCCUUAGGACUUGUCCUUCUUCAUCUUCCUCAUCAGCAACUUGAGGCACUGGGGCCUUGUUCUUCUCAGCAGCUGGAAUACUCCUGGUAUUCCUCUUUGGUGCAAGCUUGGCCUUGGGGGCGGCUUUGGGUGCUUCCUUGGGCUUUGAUGUUGCAGCCCCUGACUUAAUUGCAUCACCCAUAAGCUUUUGUGCCUUGGGUGCUGGUGCAGCAACCUCUUCUUCCUCUUCAGAGUCUCUCCUCAUUGAGGGAUUUCCAAGAACCUGGGCAGUAGUGGUUCUGGCUCUCUUCUUCUUCUUAUCCUGAGCAGCAGCUUCAUCUUCUGAUUCAAUUGCAAACUUCAUGGUUUCUCCAGUGGGAACUUUCUUGGGUUUGGAAGUUGUGACUCUCUUUGCAGGUGCCUCUUUGGGAUCAUACUUCUCAGGCACUUGAGUAGAUCCUCUGACCUUCAACAUAGGUGUCCUCUUGGCAGGAACCCUCCUAUUGAGUCCAGGCUUAGUGGUCUUGGCUGAGCCAUACUCCUUCUUGAGCACUACCUUCUUGGAAGUAGCCUCAUCCUCUUCUGCUCUAUAAUCCUCAUCCUCAGAAUCUGAGGUUCUCUUCUUCCUUGUCUUGGUGGCAGCUUUAGGCAGGUUGCUUGGGGUGCUCCUGCUGUCUUCAUCUGAAGUGCUAGAGGGACUAGUGCCCUCACUCAUGUGCAUCUGCUCUUCUGACAUGUUCUAACUAUCACUUUGGUCUGACAUGCUGCAAAUCACUGACUGCUAACCCUGUGAAGAGUUAUAGAUGAGAUAGAGUUGAUGAGCAUCACAAAAUGCAGAGAUUUUUGCAAAAGAAUGAUUCAAAAAUUCAGUUUUAGUUUUCCAUAGAAAGCAUUUCGGAUCAACCGAUUUUCAAACUCGGUGAUACCGAAGCAGUUUUAGAACCUAAAAUGAUGAACUCGGUUGGACCGAGUCACAGUUCGGUGGCACCGAGACUGCUAGGGUUUCCCAAAGUCCUAAAAUCGGUCUCACCGAUUAGCAAUUCUCGGUCAGACCGAGAGUUACUAGUGCAAUGGCGUUAGCCAAAUCGGUGGGACCGAGUUUUUCAACUCGGUGGGUCCGAGAUAGUUUCGGCGGAAACCUAACCCUAAAUUUUCAAAUCUCAUCUAAUCUAAGGAUUGCAUUGACUAGAUAGGAGUGUUUCAAUCGUGGCAAGAAUCAUUAAGAACGCAAUGUGCUAGGAAUCGGACGAGGAUAGCACUAUGAUCGAGUUCAUACCCUAGCUUGGCGAUGAACUCGCUACGGCGGCAAUGGCGGGGGUUAAAUCCAUUGACGGCGGCGAAGACUAGCGACAGGAGGCGGCUGGCGAUGAGGAGACGAUCCGGACACCCUGAUGGCAGAGCGAGCUAUUGCGCGGGCGAAGAGGUUCGGAGAAAUUUCCAAAUUUUUUCCCGUAACUAUAUAUAGCCCGACCCUGUCAGUGUGACCGAGUGGAACAACUCGGUGGCACCGAGAUGCAUAACUGUGUACAGUUACAGCAACUCGGUGUGACCAAAAAGUUGAAAUCGGUUGCAUCGAGAUUGAAAACCUAGAUCAACUUAGUGAUCUCGGUGUGACCGAAAUGAAGGAAUCGGUCAGACCGAUAAUCACAAAGAAGUUUUGGAAGUUUAAGUCUAUGACGAAUCGGGGACUCCGAGUGCUCCUCACACAGAGUGGUUCGAAUCUGACUUGAUCAAAUUUUGUGAUGUAGCAUGAAUAGAGUUUGAGACGAGAAAAGCAUAGAUAGCAAGAGAAGGUUCUUAGGCAUUCUUGUCCAUCCACUUGGCAAAAAGAAAAAGAACCAAACAAUCAAAACAACAAGUGGAUGUCCUUGAAUGAGUAAAAUAUGCACCAACAUGCUCACACAAUAAGAUGGCAAAUGAAAUAUGUGGCAAAACAUGCACAACCAAUUCUAGCAUCUAUCAAAACAAUUGGCGAUGAAUAGGUCAUCUAUAUAUGAGUAUAUUGACUUAGGAGUCAAAUGAAAACAUUUGAUCAUAAUGCAUUCAUGUGUUCACACCAUUAGAGUUGCUUUGACUCAAUUCUUAGAGUUAAGCUCCCCCUAGAUGUGAGAUCCCCUUUUAGAGGGAUGAACUAACCUUGGGUUUUGUCGAUGAUGACUUCAUGUAGGUGUUGAAGAUGUGGAUGCUCAAUGUUGAUGUAGAUCAUUUGGAGCAAUCCUUUGGAGUGAGUUGCACUUUCAACAUACCUACAUGGGUUAGUCCCACAAGGAACAAACAAGAAUAUCCAUAGACAUAGAGUGAUGCACACACAAGAUAAUAUCCAUGAAAUCAUUAGGUUACCUUGUCCCUUGCCUUACCAACAUGAGGGUUUGUGACUCCUUGAACUAGUGCAAGAUGUGGAAGUUGAUUGCACUUGUUCUUGCCAUAAUGAUAUGAGUGAAGAAUGUUGGCGGAGUCACCCUCAAGAACUCUCUAGUUCUUCUUCUUCGGGAUCCACAUCAUCUUGAUGGGAAUCCUUGGAGUUGUAGUUGUACUUGAUGAAGUAGAACUUGACGUAGUCUUGGGAACCCACUUGACCGAGACCUUAGGUGCUUCUUAAAAUGCAUCAAUCUCUUCUUGAAGCUUGUCCUUGCCUUUGUUCUUGUGGUCUUGUGGUGUAAGAUCAUCUUGUGCUUGUGUUCCUUUGAAGGAAGUAGGGUCAUACUUCUCUUGUUGAGGAACAAACUUCGUCUUGGGGUAUUGAUCUUCUUCCCACUCAACUCCAUUGGCAUUGAACUUUCGUUCAAAACCAACACCUUGAUUCUUUCGGUGCCUUCCUUGCUUGCGUACAAUUUCCUCGAAUUGCUUACUCCCGGCAAGGCUCUUGUAAACACCUUUCUCUAUAAUUCCCUUAAAUAAGCUAUUUUCUUGCUCAAGUGUAACUUGGCUAAGAGAUUCAUUAGUGGAAUCAAGAGAACUACUAGAAGCAACAAUAUUGGAUUUGACAUUAUUAUUGUUACUACUAGAGGAAGUAUCUUUCUUGUACUUGUUACUAGACUUGACUUGAGGCAUGUAAGUAGAUAAGAGUAAACACUUGGCAAUGUAAGAAGAACUUUUCUUACGGAGAUCAUCAUUGAUUGCUUUUAAGAACUCAUGCUCUUGCUCAAGAUUGAGCUUUUCAAAGCGUAACUUCUCAUGAGCCCUUAAAAGUUCUCGAUGAUCUUCGAAGAUAGUUUCAUGAGCUAACUUAAGAGUGUUUAGUUCUUUAGUUAGAAGCUCAAUCUUCUCCUUAUCAUUGUCAUUCGUUUUAUCUUGAUUAGCAUGAUUAAUUGACGUUUCAUCAUAGUAUUCAUCACUAGAGUUGUCAACAAGUAAAUCAUCAUCCACAAGCAAGUCAUCUUCAUCACUAUUGAAAUCAACAUACUCGGGAUGUGUUACCUUUGGACCUUUCGCCAUGAAGCAUCUUCCAAUUCCUUCAUUUGGUGAAUCAAAUAUGUUGUAGGAGUUGGUUGACACAAGUGCUAGACCGGCAACACCUUCAUCUUGAGUAUAUUCGGAGCCAGAGUGAUAGCUUUUCUCGGAGUGAGUGUCGGAGUCGGAUCCGGAUACCCAUUCACCAACAUGAGCUUGAUGUCUUCGUUUUGUGUAGCUCCUUGAUGACUUGUCCUUCCUUUCCGAAUCCUUGCUUCUCCGUGAGGGUCUUUGUUCAUAAUGAUCAUCUCUACUCCUCCUCUCUCUUGGUGGUGAUUCUUCUCUUUUGCUUCUUCUUUUUGGAGAAUCUUCUCUUCUUUUGUAGGGUGCCGUACACUCAUUGGAAUAGUGUCUGGGUCUCCCACAAUUGUAGCAAUUUCGCUCUCGACUAGAAGAUCUUUUGUCAUUGUAAGACCUUGACUUGGAGCUUCUUUCUUUGCUUCUAUUCUUGUAGAAUUUGUUGAAGUUCUUCACCAUUAAGCUCAAUUCUUCAUUGAAGGUUUGUUUCUCACUUGAUGAUGUGGGGGCUUCACAUGAGGCUUUGUAAGCACCACUUGACUUGUUGUGAAGUUCCUCCUUAUCCUUAAGUGACAUCUCAUGAGCAACAAUUCUUCCAAUGACUUCCGUUGGCUUGAGAUCUUUGUAGUUUGGCAUCAUUUGGAUCAAUGUGCACACGGUAUCAUACUUUCCAUCCAAUGCUCUUAGGAUCUUCUUGAUGAUGAAUCUGUCGGUCAUCUCUUCACUCCCUAAGCCGGCAAUCUCAUUUGUGAUAAGUGCAAGCCUAGAGUACAUUUCAGCGAAACCUUCACCAUCCUUCAUUUUGAACUUGUCAAGCUGACUUUGGAGCACAUCCAACUUGGAUUCCUUGACGAAGUCGGUACCUUCAUGCAUAUCAAUCAAAGUAUCCCAAAUUUCCUUUGCAUUCUCAAGACGGCUGAUUUUGUUGAAUUCUUCGGGGCACAAUCCAUUGAAGAUGAUAUCACAAGCUUGAGCGUUGUAUUGCAGCAUCUUCAAUUCUUCCGCAUUAGCUUCACGGUUCGGCUCUCUCCCAUCAAAGAAUUCACCUUGCAAGCCAAUACAAAUAAUUGCCCAAACGGCGGGGUUAUGUCCGAGAAUAUGCAUUUUCAUCUUAUGCUUCCAACUAGCAAAAUUAGUACCAUCAAAGUAAGGACCUCUACGGUGAUAAUUUCCCUCACUAGACGCCAUACUCUCCUAGGUUGUGAAACCAAGGCUAUGACCACCAAAAGCUAUGGAAAUCAAAGCAAAUGGAGACCAAAGCUCUGAUACCACCUGUAGGACCUUGAAGUAUGUCUAGAGGGGGGGUGAUUAGACUACUUGACCAAUUAAAAACUUAACAUUUUCCCAAUUUUAGAGUUUGGCAGAUUUUAGCUAUCUUAGGACAAGUCAAGCAAUCAUCACACAAUUCAAGCAAGCAUGCAAAGAGUACAUAGGCAGCGGAAAUUAGAGCAUGCAACUUGCAAGAAAGUAAAGGGAAGGGUUUGGAGGAUUGAAACGCAAUUGGAGACACGGAUGUUUUUGGCGUGGUCCCGAUAGGUGGUGCUAUCGUACAUCCACGUUGAUGGAGACUUCAACCCACGAAGGGUAACGGUUGCGCGAGUCCACGGAGGGCUCUGUUGGGGAAUGUUGCAGAAAAUUAAAAUUUUUCCUACGGUUUCACCAAGAUCCAUCUAUGAGUUCAUCUAAGCAACGAGUGAUAGGAGUGCAUCUACAUACCCUUGUAGAUCGCGAGCGGAAGCGUUCAAGAGAACGGGGAUGAUGGAGUCGUACUCGCCGUGAUCCAAAUCACCGAUGACCAAGUGCUGAACGGAUAGCACCUCCGCGUUCAACACACGUACGGAGCGGAUGAAGUCUCCUCCUUCUUGAUCCAGCAAGGGGGGAGGAGAGGUUGAGGAAGAAGACUCCAGCAGCAGCACGACGGCGUGGUGGUGGUGGAGAAGCAGUACUACGGCAGGGCUUCGCCAAGCAACGGCGGGAGGAGGAAGAGGUGUAGCAGGGGGGGAGGCGCCAAGACUCAGGGGUGCGGCUGCCCUCCCUCCCCCCUCCUUUAUAUAGGCCCCCAAGGGGGGUAGCCGGCCCUAGAGAUGGGAUCUCUAGGGGGGCGGCGGCCAAGGGGGGUGGAGUGCCCCCCAAGGCAAGUGGAGGCGCCCCCUCCCCUAGGGUUCCCAACCCUAGGCGCAGAGGGGGGGCCAGGGGGGCGCACCAGCCCAACAGGGGCUGGUCCCCUCACCACUUCAGCCCACGGGGCCCUCCGGGAUGGGUGGACCCACCCGGUGGACCCCCGGGACCCUUUCGGUGGUCCCGGUACAAUACCGGGUGACCCUGAAACUUUCCCGAUGGCCGAAACAGCACUUCCUAUAUAUAAAUCUUCACCUCCGUACUAUUCCAGAACUCCUCGUGACGUUUGGGAUCUCAUCCGAGACUCCGAACAACAUUCGGUAAUCACAUAUGAAUCUUCCUAAUAACCCUAGCGUCACCGAACCUUAAGUGUGUAGACCCUACGGGUUCGGGAAUCAUGCAGACAUGACCGAGAUAGCUCUCCGGCCAAUAACCAAUAGCGGGAUCUAGAUACCCAUGUUGGCUCCCACAUGAUCCAUGAUGAUUUCAUCGGAUGAACCACGAUGUCGAGGAUUUGAUCAACCCUGUAUACAAUUCCCUUUGUCAAUCGGUACGUUACUUGCCCGAGACUUGAUCGUCAGUAUCCCAAUACCUCGUUCAGUCUCGUUACCGGCAAGUCACUUUACUCGUACCGUAAUGCAUGAUCCCGUGACCAAACACUUGGUCACUUUGAGCUCAUUAUGAUGAUGCAUUACCGAGUGGGCCCAGAGAUACCUCUCCGUCAUACGGAGUGACAAAUCUCAGUCUCGAUCCGUGUCAACCCAACAGACACUUUCGGAGAUACCUGUAGUGCACCUUUAUAGUCACCCAGUUACGUUGUGACAUUUGGUACACCCAAAGCACUCCUACGGUAUCCGGGAGUUACACGAUCUCAUGGUCUAAGGAAAGGAUACUUGACAUUGGAAAAGCUCUAGCAAAUGAACUACACGAUCUUGUGCUAUGCUUAAGAUUGGGUCUUGUCCAUCACAUCAUUCUCCUAAUGAUGUGAUCCCGUUAUCAACGACAUCUGAUGUCCAUAGUCAGGAAACCAUGACUAUCUUUUAAUCAACAAGCUAGUCAACUAGAGGCUUACUAGGGACAUAUUAUGGUCUAUGUAUUCACACGUGUAUUACGAUUUCCGGAUAAUACAGUUAUAGCAUGAAUAAAGACAAUUAUCAUGAAUAAGGAAAUAUAAUAAUAACCUUUUAUUAUUGCCUCUAGGGCAUAUUUCCAACAAUCUCCCACUUGCACUAGAGUCAAUAAUCUAGUUACAUUGUGAUGAAUCGAACACCCAUAGAGUUCUGGUGUUGAUCAUGUUUUGCUCGCGAGAGAGGUUUAGUCAACGGAUCUGCGACAUUCAGAUCCGUAUGAACUUUGCAAAUAUCUAUGUCUCCAUCUUGAACAUUUUCACGGAUGCAGUUGAAACAAUGCUUGAUGUGCCUGGUCUUCUUGUGAAACCUAGGCUCCUUGGCAAGGGCAAUAGCUCUAGUGUUGUCACAGAAGAGUUUGAUCGGCCCCGACGCAUUGGGUAUGACUCCUAGGUCGGUGAUGAACUCCUUCACCCAAAUUGCUUCAUGUGUUGCCUCUGAGGCUGCCAUGUACUCCGCUUCACAUGUAGAUCCCGCCACGACACUCUACUUGCAGCUGCACCAGCUUACUGCUCCACCAUUCAACAUAUACACGUAUCCGGUUUGUGACUUAGAGUCAUCCAGAUCUGUGUCAAAGCUAGCGUCGACGUAACCCUUUACGACGAGCUCUUCGUCACCUCCAUAAACGAGAAACAUGUCCUUUGUCCUUUUCAGGUACUUCAGGAUAUUCUUGACCGAUGUCUAGUGUUCCUUGCCGGGAUUAGUUUGGUACCUUCCUACCAAACUUACGGCAAGGUUUACAUCAGGUCUGGUACACAACAUGGCAUACAUAAUAGAUCCUAUGGCUGAAGCAUAGGGGAUGACACUCAUCUCUUCUUUAUCUUUUGCCGUGGUCGGGCAUUGAGCCGAGCUCAAUCUCAUACCUUGCAACACAGGCAAGAACCCUUUCUUGGACUGAUCCAUUUUGAACUUCUUCAAAAUCUUAUCAAGGUAUGUGCUUUGUGAAAGACCUAUGAGGCGUCUCGAUCUAUCCCUAUAGAUCUUGAUGCCUAAUAUGUAAGCAGCUUCUCCAAGGUCCUUCAUUUAAAAACACUUAUUCAACUAGGCCUUAAUGCUGUCCAAAAGUUAUAUAUCAUUUCCCAUCAAGAGUAUGUCAUCUACAUAUAAUAUGAGAAAUGCUACAGAGCUCCCGGUCACUUUCUUGUAAACGCAGGCUUCUCCAUAAGUCUGCAUAAACCCAAACGCUUUGAUCAUCUCAUCAAAGCGAAUGUUCAAACUCCGAGAUGCUUGCACCAGCCCAUAAAUGGAUCGCUGGAGCUUGCAUACUUUGUUAGCAUUCUUAGGAUCGACAAAACCUUUCGGCUACAUCAUAUACAGUUCUUCCUUAAGAUGUCUGUUAAGGAAUGCCGUUUUGACGUCCAUCUGCCAUAUCUCAUAAUCAUAGUAUGCGGCAAUUGCUAACAUGAUUCGGACGGACCUCAGCUUCGCUACGGGAGAGAAUGUCUCAUCAUAGUCAACCCCUUGAACUUGUCAAUAACCCUUAGCGACAAGUCGAGCUUUAUAGAUGGUAACAUUACCAUCCGCGUCCGUCUUCUUCUUAAAGAUCCAUUUGUUUUCUAUCGCUCGCCGAUCAUCGGGCAAGUCUGUCAAAGUCCAUACUUUGUUUUCAUAAUGGAUUCUAUCUCGGAUCGCAUGGCUUCAAGCCAUUUGUUGGAAUCUGGGCCCUCCAUCGCUUCUUCAUAGUUCGAAGGUUCACUGUUGACUAACAACAUGAUUUCCAGGACAGGGUUGCCAUACCACUUUGGUGCGGAGCGUGUCCUUGUGGACCUACGAAGUUCAGUAGCAACUUGAUCCGAAGUACCUUGAUCAUCAUCAUUAUUUUCCUCUCCAGUUGGUGUUGGCAUCACAGGAACAUUUUCCUAAGCUGCGCCACUUUCCUGUUCAAGAGGUAGUACUUCAUUGAGUUCUACUUUCCUCCCACUUACUUCUUUCGAGAGAAACUCUUUUUCCAGAAAGGAUUCGUUCUUGGCAACAAAGAUCUUGCCCUUGGAUCUUAAGUAGAAGGUAUACCCAAUGGUUUCCUUAGGGUAUCCUAUGAAGACGCAUUUUUCCGACUUGGGUUCAAGCUUUUCAGGUUGAAGUUUCUUGACAUAAGCAUCGCAUCCCCAAACUUUUAGAAACGACAGCUUAGGUUUCUUCCCAAACCAUAAUUCAUACGGUGUCGUCUCAACGGAUUUAGACGGUGCCCUAUUUAAAGUGAAUGUAGCUGUCUCUAGAGCGUAUCCCCAAAAUGAUAGCGGUAAAUCAGUAAGAGACAUCAUAGACGGCACCAUAUCCAAUAGAGUGCGAUUACGACGUUCGGACACACCGUUACGCUGAGGUGUUCCAGGCGGCGUGAGUUGUGAAACGAUUCCACAUUUCCUUAAGUGCGUACCAAAUUCGUGACUUAAAUAUUCUCCUCCACGAUCUGAUCGUAGGAACUUUAUCUUUCGGUCACGUUGAUUCUCUACCUCAUUCUGAAAUUCCUUGAACUUUUCAAAGGUCUCAGACUUGUGUUUCAUUAAGUAGACAUACCCAUAUCUACUCAAGUCAUCAGUGAGAGUGAGAACAUAACGAUAUCCUCCGCGAGCCUCAACGCUCAUUGGACCGCACACAUCAGUAUGUAUGAUUUCCACUAAGUUGGUUGCUCGCUCUAUUGUUCCGGAGAACGGAGUCUUGGUCAUCUUGCCCAUGAGGCAUGGCUCGCAUGUGUCAAACGAUUCAUAAUCUAGAGACUCUAAAAGUCCAUCAGCAUGGAGCUUCGUCAUGCGCUUGACACCAAUGUGACCAAGGCGGCAGUGCCACAAGUAUGUGGGACUAUCGUUAUCAACUUUACAUCUUUUGGUAUUCACACUAUGAAUCUGUGUAACAUUACGCUCGAGAUUCAUUAAGAAUAAACCAUUAACCAUCGGGGCAUGACCAUAAAACAUAUCUCUCAUAUAAAUAGAACAACCAUUAUUCUCAGAUUUAAAUGAGUAGCCAUCUCAUAUCAAACGAGAUCCAAAUACAAUGUUCAUGCUCAAACUUGGCACUAAAUAACAAUUAUUAAGGUUUAAAACUAAUCCCGUAGGUAAAUGUAGAGGUAGCGUGCCGACGGCGAUCACAUCGACCUUGGAACCAUUCCCGACGCGCAUGGUCACCUCGUCCUUCGCCAGUCUCCGCUUAUUCCGCAGCUCCUGCUGUGAGUUACAAAUAUGAGCAACGGCACCGGUAUCAAAUACCCAGGAGUUACUAUGAGUACUGGUAAGGUACACAUCAAUUACAUGUAUAUCAAAUAUACCUUUAGUGUUGCCGGCCUUCUUGUCCGCUAAGUAUUUGGGGCAGUUCCGCUUCCAGUGACCCUUCCCUUUGCAAUAAAAGCACUCAGUCUCAGGCUUGGGUCCAUUGCUUGACUUCUUCCUGGCAACUGGCUUACCAGGCGCGGCAACAUCCUUGCCGUCCUUCUUGAAGUUCUUCUUACCCUUGCCCUUCUUAAACUUGGUGGUUUUAUUGACCAUCAACACUUGAUGUUCUUUCUUGAUUUCUACCUCUGCUGACUUCAGCAUUGAAAAUACUUCAGGAAUAGUUUUCACCAUCCCCUGCAUAUUGUAGUUCAUCACAAAGCUCUUGUAGCUCGGUGGGAGCGAUUGAAGGAUUCUGUCAAUGACCGCCUCGUCCGGAAGGUUAAUGUCCAGCUGGGACAGGUGGUUGUGCAACCCAGACAUUUUGAGUAUGUGCUCACUGACAGAACUAUUUUCCUCCAUCUUACAACUAUAGAACUUGUCGGACACUUCAUAUCUCUCGACCCGGGCAUGAGCUUGGAAAACCAUUUUCAGCUCCUCAAACAUCUCAUAUGCUCUGUGUUGCUCAAAACGCUUUUGGAGCCCCAGUUCUAGGCUGUAAAGCAUGCCGCACUGAACGAGGGAGUAAUCAUCAGCACGUGACUGCCAAGCGUUCAUAACGUCUUGGUUCUCUGGGAUGGGUGCUUCACCUAGCGGUCCAUCUAGGACAUAUGCUUUCUUGGCAGAUAUGAGGAUGAUCCUCAGGUUCCGGACCUAGUCCGUAUAGUUGCUGCCAUCAUCUUUCAGCUUGGUUUUCUCUAGGAACGCGUUGAAGUUCAUGUUGACAUGAGCGUUGGCCAUUUGAUCUACAAGACAUAUUUGCAAAGGUUUUAGACUAACGUUCAUGAUAAUUAAGUUCAUCUAAUCAAAUUAUUUAAUGAACUCCCACUCAGAUUAGACAUCCCUCUAGUCAUCUAAGUGUUACACGAUCCGAGUCGACUAGGCCGUGUUCGAUCAUCACGUGAGACGGACUAGUCAUCAUCGGUGAACAUCUCCAUGUUGAUCGUAUCUUCCAUACGACUCAUGUUCGACCUUUCGGUCUUUGUGUUCCGAGUCCAUGUUUGUACAUGCUAGGCUCGUCAAGCUAACCCUAAGUGUUUUUGCAUGUGUAAAACUUUCUUACACCCGUUGUAUGUGAACGUAAGAAUCUAUCACACCCGAUCAUCACGUGGUGCUUCGAAACGACGAACUUUAGCAACUGCGCACAGUUAGGGGAGAACACUUCUUGAAAUUAUUAUAAGGGAUCAUCUUAUUUACUACCAUCGUUCUAAGUAAACAAGAUGCAUAAACAUAAUAAACAUCACAUGCAAUUACAUAAUGGUGACAUGAUAUGGCCAAUAUCAUAUAGCUCCUUUGAUCUCCAUCUUCGGGGCUCCAUGAUCAUCUUCGUCACCGGCAUGACACCAUGAUCUCCAUCAUCAUGAUCUCCAUCAUCGUGUCUUCAUGAAGUUGUCACGCCAACGACUACUUGUACUUCUAUGGCUAACGCGUUUAGCAAUAAAGUAAAGUAAUUUACAUGGCGUUCUUCAAUGACACGCAGGUCAUACAAAAAAUAAAGACAACUCCUAUGGCUCCUGCCGGUUGUCAUACUCAUCGACAUGCAAGUCGUGAUUCCUAUUACAAGAACAUGAUCUCAUACAUCACAAUAUAUCAUUCAUCAUUCAUCACAACUUUGGCCAUAUCACAUCACAAGACACUAGCUGCAAAAACAAGUUAGACGUCCUCUAAUUGUUGUUGCAAGUUUUUACGUGGCUUCUAUAGGUGAUCUAGCAAGAACAUUUUCUUACCUACGUUAAAGCCACAACGUGAUUUGUCAACUUCUAUUUACCCUUCAUAAGGACCCUUUUCGUCGAAUCCGCUCCAACUAAAGUGGGAGAGACAGACACCCGCUAGCCACCUUAUGCAACUAGUGCAUGUCAGUCGGUGGAACCUGUCUCACGUAAGCGUACGUGUAAGGUCAGUCCGGGCCACUUCAUCCCACAAUACCGCUGAAGCAAAAUAAGACUAGUAGCGGCAAGAGAGUUGACAACAUCUACGCCCACAACAAAAUUGUGUUCUACUCGUGCAAUAGAGAACUACGCAUAGACCUAGCUCAUGAUGCCACUAUUGGGGAACGUUGCAGAAAAUUAAAAAAUUUCCUACGGUUUCACCAAGAUCCAUCUAUGAGUUCAUCUAAGCAACGAGUGAUAGGAGUGCAUCUACAUACCCUUGUAGAUCGCGAGCGGAAGCGUUCAAGAGAACGGGGAUGAUGGAGUCGUACUCGCCGUGAUCCAAAUCACCGAUGACCAAGUGCUGAACGGACAGCACCUCCGCGUUCAACACACGUACGGAGCGGAUGACGUCUCCUCCUUCUUGAUCCAGCAAGGGGGGAGGAGAGGUUGAGGAAGAAGACUCCAGCAGCAGCACGACGGCAUGGUGGUGGUGGAGAAGCAGUACUCUGGCAGGGCUUCGCCAAGCAACCGCGGGAGGAGGAAGAGGUGUAGCAAGGGGAGGGAGGCGCCAAGACUCAGGGUUGCGCCUGCCCUCUCUCCCCCCUCCUUUAUAUAGGCCCCCAAGGGGGGUAAUCGGCCCUAGAGAUGGGAUCUCUAGGGGAGGGCGGCGGCCAAGGGGGGUGGAGUGCCCCCCAAGGCAAGUGGAGGCGCCCCCUCCCCUAGGGUUCCCAACCCUAGGCGCGGAGGGGGGCCCAGGGGGGGCGCACCAGCCCACCAGGGGCUGGUCCCCUCCCCACUUCAGCCCACGGGGCCCUCCGGGAUGGGUGGCCCCACCCGGUGGACCCCCGGGACCCUUCCGGUGGUCCUGGUACAAUCCCGGGUGACCCUGAAACUUUCCCGAUGGCCGAAACAGCACUUCCUAUAUAUAAAUCUUCACCUCCAGACUAUACCGGAACUCCUCGUGACAUUCGGGAUCUCAUCCGGGACUCCGAACAACAUUCAGUAAUCACAUACGAAUCUUCCUAAUAAACCUAGCGUCACCGAAGCUUAAGUGUGUAGACCCUACGGGUUCGGGAAUCAUGCAGACAUGACCGAGACAGCUCUCCGGCCAAUAACCAACAGCGGGAUCUGGAUACCCAUGUUGGCUCCCACAUGUUACACGAUGAUUUCAUUGGAUGAACCACGAUGUCGAGGAUUCGAUCAACCCCGUAUACAAUUCCCUUUGUCAAUCGGUACGUUACUUGCCCGAGACUCGAUCAUCGGUAUCCCAAUACCUUGUUUAGUCUCGUUACCGGCAAGUCACUUUACUCGUACCGUAAUGCAUGAUCCCGUGACCAAACACUUGGUCACUUUGAGCUCAUUAUGAUGAUGCAUUACGAGUGGGCCCAGAGAUACCUCUCCGUCAUACGGAGUGACAAAUCCCAGUCUCGAUCCGUGUCAACCCAACAGACACUUUCGGAGAUACCUGUAGUGCACCUUUAUAGUCACCCAGUUACAUUGUGACGUUUGGUACACCCAAAGCACUCCUACGGUAUCCGGGAGUUACACGAUCUCAUGGUCUAAGGAAAGGAUACUUGACAUUGGAAAAGCUCUAGCAAACGAACUACACGAUCUUGUGCUAUGCUUAAGAUUGGGUCUUGUCCAUCACAUCAUUCUCCUAAUGAUGUGAUCCCGUUAUCAACGACAUCUGAUGUCCAUAGUCAGGAAACCAUGACUAUCUGUUGAUCAACAAGCUAGUCAAUUAGAGGCUUACUAGGGACAUAUUAUGGUCUAUGUAUUCACACGUGUAUUACGAUUUCCGGAUAAUACAGUUAUAGCAUGAAUAAAGACAAUUAUCAUGAAUAAGGAAAUAUAAUAAUAACCUUUUAUUAUUGCCUCUAGGGCAUAUUUCCAACAAGCUCCACCCACGAAGGUUCCACAAAGAAGCAACCUUGUCUAUCCCACCAUGGCUGUCGCCCACGAAGGACUUGCCUCACUAGCGGUAGAUCUUCACGAAGUAGGGGAUCUCCUUGCCCUUACAAACUCCUUGGUUCAACUCCACAAUCUUGUCGGAGGCUCCCAAGUGACACCUAGCCAAUCUAGGAGACACCACUCUCCAAGAAGUAACAAAUGGUGCAUUGAUGAUGAACUCCUUGCUCUUGUGCUUCAAAUGAUAGUCUACCCAACACUCAACUCUCUCUCAUAGGUUUUGGAUCUGGUGGAAAGAAGAUUUGAGUGGAAAGCAACUUGGGGAAGGCUAGAGAUCAAGAUUCAUAUGGUAGAAAUGGAAUAUCUUGGCCUCAACACAUGAGUAAGUGGUUCUCUCUCAGAAAUGGUAAGUUGGAAGUGUAGGUUCGUUCUGAUGGCUCUCUCCACGAAUGAAGAUGAGGUGGAGGGGUAUAUAUAGCAUCCACACAAAAUCUAACCGUUACACACAAUUUACCAAACUCGGUGGGACCGAAUCAUCAAACUCGGUCGGACCGAUUUAGUAAACCUAGUGACCGUUAGGAUUUUCGGUGGGACCGAAAUGCAACUCGGUAGGACCGAUAUGGUUAGGGUUAGGGCAUAACGUAAUCUCGGUAAGAUCGAUUACACAAACUCGGUAGGACCGAUUUUGGUAAUAAGCUUUCCAAAGAGCUGGUCAGGUAAACUCGGUGGGACCGAUUUGCUCUUUUCGGUGAGACCGAAAUGUUACAAAAGGGAAACAGAGAGUUUACAUUGCAAUCUCAGUGGGACCGAUCUCUCACUUCGGUUAGACCGAAACGUUACGAAGGGAAACAGAGAGAUUAUAAUCCCAUCUCGGUGAGACCGAGAUCCCUAUCAGUAGGACCGAUUUGCCUAGGGUUUGUGGCAGUGGCUAUGACAUUAGAACUCGAUGGCGUCGGAUAGGAAGAAUCGGUGUGACCGAUUUUGGCUUUAGGUUUAGGUCAUUUGUGGAUGUGAGAAAGUAGUUGAGGGUUUUUGGAGCAUAUCACCAAGCACAUGAAGCAAGAGGCUCAUUAAGCAACACCUCACCCCUCCUUGAUAGUAUUGGCUUUUCCUAUAGACUCAAUGUGAUCUUGGAUCACUAAAAUGUAAAAUGAAGAGUCUUGAGCUUUUGAGGUUGAGCCAAUCCUUUGUCAUUAGUAUUUUGAGGGAUCCACUUUCAUCAUCCAUGCCAUGCCAUUCAUUUAGCUUUCCUGAAAUAAUAGUCUUGGAAUAGUAUUAGCUCAAUGAGCUAUAUGUUGUUAUGAAUUACCAAAACCACCUAGGGAUAGUUGCACUUUCAGAAUGAGAAUGGUAACAUAGGUGAAGAUGAUGCUCUAGUACCACUAGUGGACAUUCUUGACAUUGAUUGCUUGCAUGAUGUUGAUCCACCUAUUACCAUGCUUCAUGCUAGUGUGACUUCCCCAUGCAAUGAUUUACCCAUUUAUGAUGAGUUUGAUUAUUGCCAUGUGGAGUCCAUUAAUUGUAAUGCCAUGUUACAUAGGAUUUCUUGUGACAAUUCUCUUGGUCACAUCAUGUUUGACAAUCCGCUUGACUUGUCACAUGCCAUACAUGAGAUCAACCAUAUGUCAUAUUUGCAAUCUCUUCAUAGUGACUCUGCAUAUGCCAUUAAAAUAAAACCAAUUUGCACAUAUGGCAUAGAUGACAAGCCCAUGGUUAUUGGCAUUUGUUUUUCUUGUGAUGAUGUUGAUAUGGUCCCUUUGCAUCAUUUAUCUCAUAUGCCAUGCCAUGAACACCUAGCUUCGGAUAUGCAUUGUUUUGGAUGUUGUCCAUUUUCUCCAUAUGAUGUUUCUGCUAUUGCUAAUGAGGAGACCACCAUAGUUUCCUCAUCCAUAUUAGGAGAUUUUGAUCCAUCCCAUCCAUUGCAUGAUUCAAUUGAUUGUGUGCACCAUAUGCAUCCCAUGAAUAAAAAUGCUCUUAUUGUGCCACACACUUGCUAUAAUUGUAUGCUCAAUUUGCAUCCCCAUCGUGUUAUACAUAGCAACUAUUCAUUCAUGAUGGAUGACAUGUUCUUAUACCAUGCAACAAAUUUCUUUGAGCAUUACUUAUCUUGUGCUAACUCACACGUGCACAUACACAUCAUCAUGGAUGAUGUGUACAUUUACCAUGCACACACUUUCUUUGGCUUGUUUCUAUUUUGUGUAGGUACCCAUACUUACUCGUCAACCUCGCAAGACCAUGAGUUGACGAAACGAGCUCUAGAGAUCAACGAUGCCUUGGGAACCCAUGAGUUGUGUCACCACCCGUUUCCUCCGUGCAACGACUCUGCGCAUUCCUUCUACAUGGCCCUCACAUGGUUAUGGGUUAUAUACCACUUCUCACUUUAUGCCCAUAUUGACAUGCUCACUUUGCAUGCUAUGCUUAUUUCUUUACAUUUGUCAUGCAUUUGUGCCCCGUGCUUUGCAUUACACAUGAUGAUUGAUUUAGUACUUGCAUGUGUAUUUGCAAGCUUGGUGGAUAUAUUACUUGUUAUUGCCAUGUUCCAUUUGUGCCACAUUCCUACGAUGAUACUAUGAUCUUGCUUUGUGCUUGUGCUCGGGAUAUGUCAUGUGCAUUACCUAUAUCUAUUAUUUGCUCACAUGACAUGCUUGCCAUGCUUUCCUCUAGUGUGUUGCAUCUUUGCUCGACUAGUUUGCACGACUUGAUUUCUAUGCUUCUUCAUGUUGCAUCCCAUUCUUGGAUUACUUGAUCAUAUCAUAUGUUUGGUUGCAACAAUGUCAUUACUUCACAUAUGCCAUGUCCCAUUGCUUGUCACAUGAUUGAUUUGAUUGCCUCACACAUGAUGAACAAUUGCUCUUUCUAUCGUGUUGAGUGCCACACAAUUUUCACUACACCCUAUGCACAUUAUGCUUGGAUUGUCUUGCACUUACCCCAUGUGUUUAGAUAUUUCAUUUCAUUUGGUGUUGUGAAUGACUCUUAUGCCUACCAUAGAACGUUCAUUAAGAGUCUUAUGCAUGAUUGCUAUGACCUUGAGGUAGAUGCUUAUUCUCUUGAAACACAUAUUUGCAUCGCUACCUCACAUUUACAUGCUUGUUUGCAUGAUGUCCUUGAUUUGGCUCAAUUUAUGUGCUUACAUGACAUGUCACAACCCCUUGUCACACCAUAUGCUAUGCUUGAUGACGACACUUGUUUGGUGAAUCACCUCUUGAAUGCUUGGUUUUGCACUAACGCUAACCACAUUUGUUUUUCCAUGUGUUUGUUGUCCUUGCUCCUUUUGAAGGAAUCACAAGACGGUGCAACAUUGGAGAGUGCCCAUUUCAAGCUUCAACAUGAUAAGUGCUUGGUGGUUGUACACUCCUACACGGCGACGCCCUCUCUUUCCCAUGGUGAUGAAGAUCACGAUCCAUGGACAGAUCUCUCCCAAGGGAGGGAGAUGAUGCGGAGCAUCCCUCAUUCAUCCCCAUGGACGUUCUGUCACCACCGCAAGCACGAAGAGUACCAAUGACAAGAGUCCGCGCAUGCGUCAUCGAAACUGAGGUUGACUCCUUCCUCUUUUAACUCCAUUCGAAUUCACACGAGAAUCGGGUUCUACCUCAAACAGCAUUAUUGUGCAUUCUUAGGUACCAAGAAGAAGUCCAUGAAGAAGCUAGGAGGGAGACCCAAGCACAUAUGGAGGAGGAGAAGGAAGGAGAACGCCCGAAGCGUGAAGACUCGGAGGCUCUGGAACCCCCAGGUGCCGGACCCUCCAUGCCCCCGGUGCCCAGGCCUUCGGCCGCCGGCUGGGCGUUGACCCUGGCCACUCCGGUUGCCCGGCCCCCCCUGCCUGGGCGCGGCGCCAUCGCCUCGGGUGCCCGGCCUUCCACCGCUGGCCCUCCCAACCGAGUGCCUGGGCCACUACCCAUGGGUGCCCGGCCUCCCCCACCUGGCGCUGACUUGGGCCGCCCCGGGUGCUCGGCCCUCCUUCAGCCGCAGCCCAUCGCACCCCUGACCACCCCGGGUGCCCGGGCCUCAUACCCCCGGGUGCAUGGACCCCUCUUCCGUGCCUGCGAGCAUUUUUAGGUUUUGACCCUUGUAUACCCCCUUUCUCUCACAACUCGUCCCUAGGCUAUAUAAACUCCUCCCCUAGCUCAUUUGGAAGGAUAGCAAAGUAUAUGCCAUGAUUUAGUGAGCUUUGCUCCUUGUACCUCCUUUAGAGAGAGAGAGAGAGAGAGAGAGAGGCCUCUCCCAUGGAGAUCAAGACCUAUGGAGAAUAUCCCUAGUGCCCCCCCAUCUUGGGAAAGAUCCCCAUCAUAGGAUUAUCAAGACCUCUCUCCUCAUAGGAUUGGAAUGAACUAGUUACCUUGUAUCUUUCCUUUGUUGUCCUUCAAUCAUUGUGACCUCUUGUGUGUUCUUGGAUCUAGCAUAUCUAUGAUUGGAUCUAGUCAAUUUGAGUGUUUUCCCUCUCUUGUGUUCUUCGUGUUCUUGGGGAUUUCCCCUCCAAUUCGUGAAAGAUCUCCAUCUAGGUUUUCACCCUACAACAGGUCACCUCGGAGCCACAUUCCAUUGUGGUGAAGCUUCGUGGUGGUGUUGGAAGCCUCCAAUUCGGUUAUGGAGAUUGCCCCAACCUUGUUUGUAAAGCUCUGGUUGUCGCCUUCAAGGGCACCGCUAGUGGAAUCACGACAUCUCGCAUUUGUGUGAGGGCGUGAGGAGAAUAUGAUGUUCCUAGUGGCUUCUUGCGGAGCACUAUGCCUCCACCCUACUCCAACGGAUACGUACUUACUCUCAAAGGGAAAGAACUUUGGUAACACAUCCUUGUCUUCACCGGCUCCACUUGUGGUUACUUCUUACCUUUACUUUGUGCAAGCUUUAUUUGUGUUGUAUCCUUUGCUUGCUUGUGUUAUUGUUGUUGCUAGCAUCAUAUAGGUUGCUCACCUAGUUUCACUUCUAGACAACCUAUUUGUUGCUAAACCUAAUUUGUUACGAAAAUCUAAAAAAAGGUAUUUGCCUAUUCACCCCCCCCCCUUCUAGUCAACCAUAUCGAUCCUUUCAGACAUGCUCGCCGAGGUCCGCCAGCCAGUCGACGCACUCCUUGAGUCUGGUGAAGUAGGAGAGGAUGGAGGAGGAGCGUUGGUAGAUGCGGCAGAACUCGGUGGCGAGCACGACCAGCCGGUGCUCGUGGUUCUCUAGGAAGAUGGAGUAGAUGGAAUCCCGGACUUCGGCAACGGUGGCACCACGCUAUUGUACUAGGCCGAAGAUCUCAGGGCUGACCCUGUUGUACUGCCAUGAGAGGACGUAUGCGUCGUCCUGGAGCCAUGCGGCGUCCGAGCAGCAUGAGGACCCAGUGAGGUGGUCAGUGACACCGGACUUCUGGAACUGCACAUCGAAAAGAGUACGUCAUUGGGAGAAUUUGGGAGGAUUGAGUCUAAGCAUGAUAGGGACGUGCUGGUUGAUGAAAACGUCGGCGAGCAGCGACUGGUUGGGCAGCGCUGAGGAGGAGCUCGCCUCGAGAUCACGGCGAGCGAGCAGCACGCCCUGUGCAAGGGCAUCAGGGGUGAGGAGCGGCAUGGAGCGGAUGGGGCUCAGGGCGCCGCCGCUCAGCUCGGAGGGUGGCGGAGGGGAAGGAGUCGGUGGUGGUGGCGGAGGGAUUGCCAUAGCCGAGAGCGGGAUGCAACGGAAGGGAGGUUUAGAGGAACAUGGUAACUGAUACCAUGUAGAGUAGUAUUGCGGGAGAGAAGAUGCACCUUGGGUGCUCUCAUUCCAUACAUAUGAAUAUAUAGUACAUGUACACAGCGCAAUGGCGCACAGAGAGAGUUGGGCGACGUGCGCAUGCAGAGAGAUCGUGGGCAGGUACAUGGAUACCAUGUAUGUGCAUGGGAUCGUCAUGCAACUGCUAACACCAGGGAUCAAGCCCUAACAAAUUAACUUGAUUACAUGACAAAUCUCAUCGAACUCCAUCACCGGCCAGCAAGCCUACGAAGGAAUUACUUACUCCAACUGGUGAGUAUUAUGGAAUUGUUGAUGGAAGGAUAGAUGAUGACGACGGCGAUGAAUCCCCCUCUCCGGAAUCCCGAACGGACUUCAGACAAGCCUGUGGAUGAAGAACAGGAGCUGACGGCGGCUCUGUAUCGUAAAAAGCGAUGAUUCCUUCUCACUGUUUUUUUCUCCGCGAGAUGGUACUUAUGGAGUUGAAGUUAGGGCUAACGGAGGCUUAUGGGACCCACGAGCUCACAGGGCGCGCCCCCUGAGCUCGUAGCUCUCUGGUAGCCCCCCUCCAUUAGUUCUCUUCGCCAUUAUUUUUUCAUAUAUUCUGAAAAUAAUCUUCGUAUAUUUUUAGCCCAAUAUGAAAACUUUUAUUUCUACACAAAUAUAAUUUUUAUUUCUGCACAAAAAUAACACCUGGUAGUUAUGCUGAAAACAUUGUCAGUCUGGGUUAGUUUCAUUCAAAUAAUGCAAAAUAGAGUCCAAAGCAAGAGCAAAAGUGUUUGAAAAAGUAGAUAUGUUUGGAACGUAUCAAGGGGCAUGGGAGUGGCGCUCAAGAUGGCAACGGGCCCCGAAACCCGUAUCCCCGCGGUUUUUUACCCUAUUAGGGGACGGGGAUGGGCGUCUUUUCAUCCCCGCGGGGCUGUUGCUAGGCACAUUAUACAACCCGACAUGUUUCGUGGGUUUACACCUGUUUUGAUAGUCCCGAAACACGAAACCCGACAAUACCUGGCAAAAUAUGAUCUUGUUCGUUGUUGAAAUAUGCUUAUCUUUGUUGCUGAAAUAGGGUAUUGUAUUGUGCUAAAAAUGGUACUUGUAGUUGUUAUUUCUCUUUGUUCUCAAGUUAUGCUACUGGAAUAUGCUCCUUGUAGCUGUUGAACUAUGUACUAUUGUAUUGUGCUAAAAUUUACUCAAGUUAUGCUACUGAAAUAUGCUCUUUUUGUUGCUGAGAUGCUAUUUUUUUUGUUGCUAAUAUGAUUGCUUAAAUAUAUCGAUUUCCCCGUGGGUUUAGAAAACCCAACGGGUUUAUGGGAUGGGCAAAAGGCUAGCCCCGCAGACGUUGACAGGGACGGGGACGGGUUUGUGAUUUUCUCGUGGGGGUGGGUUUGGAUAGGCAAAACCCGAUGGGUUUCGUCCCUGUUGUCAUCUUAAAGGGGCGCCGACUAUUGAGUGAGAGAAAAGAUCAACCCUAAGAGGUGUGUCCACUCUUUUUUAUAUAGACCUUCGAGGUGGACUCAACACUUGAACCCACUAGAAGUUUACAUCCAUUUUCCACUCGAAUCCAAUCCAAAUGGGCUACAUCCCCUUAAGUGUGCGACCCUAUAGAUUCACGUACACAUGAACACGAGCAUAUAGUUGAUAGCGUCUCCUAGCAGAACAUGUCAAAUCCUUAAGUGUGCGACCCUAUAGGUUCACGUACACAUGAACACGAGCAUAUAGUUGAUAGCGGCUCCUAGCAGAACACGUCAAAUCCCAUGCGUGUGUAAAGCUGUUUGACAAACCUCGACAAUGUGUCGUAUGCAACAUUAAUUGUGCCUCACAAUAUAUGUUAUCAAGCUCAAGGCAAGUACUUACCACUCUUGGUAGGGUCGUCGACCCUCUUCUCAAAACCGUGAUUACGAGUUUUAGUUCAGUGACCAACCAUGCGUUUAUCAUAUCAUCCUUCAUCAUAUACAGCUAAAACUACAAACUAUGCUCUGAAUGAAAGAGAAGACAACCACUUGCAUAGUAUCGGACUUAUGAUCUCGUCAUACAUGUUAAUCAAAACAAAAUCACUAGGGUUAAAACAAAACCAGACGAGUUAACAGAAAUUUUAUGAAGCCUCAUAUGUCUAAUUAAAGGACUUAUAGAUAAUAGUACAGCAAAUAUAUAGCUCAAAGAUAUUUUAAACCAAGCACAGCCAGCUCUACAAACGACUGCCUUUAAAGUUCAAACCAGAAAAUUCUUCAUGAUAGAGUGCAGGAUACGAGAACGUAUUACAACUCAUAUCAUGCUCUAGGACACUUGUGCAGCCACCAAGCGGGUGGAGAGCGUUCGGAGACACUCUCAAUUUGUGACUCCCCCAUGAAGACACUCUCAAUUUGUGACUCCCCCAUGAUAACUGGCCACAGAAAAAUCUCCAAACUUGUUGCAAUCCCUGAAUCAUCUCUGAAAUAGUACUGAGGCAUCCUCAGCUCCUCUCUGUCAUCAUAGAAGUAGACGUUAAGAACUUCAUCACCAACUUCAUAACAUCUUGAGCACCCAUGACCGAUGAAUACUUUGUGACCAGGUAAAUCAUCUUGCUCAAUCCAGCGGAGCUGGUCAUCCUUGUCUUCGAGCUUGAAGACUCUUAUUCGCUCAGUCCGAUGACCCACAAUGUAUCUGAUUACCAUCAGGAGCCUGUUUGCACUGGAACAAGGUACCGCCAUAUUUGUUGGCCUUGUUCCACCAAAAAUCUGUCUGCUGGAAAGUCAUCCCGCAACAUAACUCCAAGUCCUAACACUGGCUGCACAAUCUGAUUGCGAUCAAAGACCAGCUUCACAACUUCUUCAUCGUUGGUCAAGAGAUAAAAAGAGUCAUCCCUGUGGACUACAUCCAGCAGCUCAUCAUCAAGUGGCACGUAGUUCCCCACUGCAUUUUCCAUCCUGUGACCUCCGAUAUACUCGCAAUCCUCCCACAGUUCCAUCGACUGGUUACAAUAAGCUGCACGCUCAAAUGGGCUAUCUAAGGGACGCACAAUAGCAACCACCACAAACCCAUUGGGAGAACCUAGGCAGCCAGCUAUAGCACCUACCCUCACUUCAACAUCAACUCUUCCCCCAUGAGAAGACAUUUGCUGUGGAAGAGGGAUAACGCGUCCAAUGCUCAAGUUGUAGAGUCGGUUCCUAUGUAGUAUAGCUUCUUUUUCAUCAGCCUCAAUCUUGUUUACUAGGGUUUUGGUGUCAUCGGCCAGAAGAAUCCAAUCGCCUUCAUGUGCUCCAGUGAUUCGUUUAGCUCUCCUGACACUGUCCGGGAGGCGAAGUCGAUGUACGGCUUGUCCAUCAGUGCUGUAAUAGGUAGGUUUCGUGGUUGAUGGCAAUAUAAGCCAUGGCAGCUGCAUGGGCCUUUUUCCACCAUCUACCUUUGCCUUCCAAAACUUGUUCGCACAACGAAGGCGAGCCCAAUCACCACGGCAAGAAAUAUGAUUCAGCAGCUUCUCUAUCACAUCCAACGGCAACUCUGAUAGUCCUGUCUUUGUGGCACCGGGUUCAGC
rnacentral:lncRNA from 1 species